GAUGAACGCUGGCGGCGUGCCUAAUACAUGCAAGUCGAGCGAACGGACGAGAAGCUUGCUUCUCUGACGUUAGCGGCGGACGGGUGAGUAACACGUGGAUAACCUACCUAUAAGACUGGGAUAACUUCGGGAAACCGGAGCUAAUACCGGAUAAUAUUUUGAACCGCAUGGUUCAAAAGUGAAAGACGGUCUUGCUGUCACUUAUAGAUGGAUCCGCGCUGCAUUAGCUAGUUGGUAAGGUAACGGCUUACCAAGGCAACGAUGCAUAGCCGACCUGAGAGGGUGAUCGGCCACACUGGAACUGAGACACGGUCCAGACUCCUACGGGAGGCAGCAGUAGGGAAUCUUCCGCAAUGGGCGAAAGCCUGACGGAGCAACGCCGCGUGAGUGAUGAAGGUCUUCGGAUCGUAAAACUCUGUUAUUAGGGAAGAACAAAUGUGUAAGUAACUAUGCACAUCUUGACGGUACCUAAUCAGAAAGCCACGGCUAACUACGUG
rnacentral:rRNA from 1 species